CUAGGUCAAAUGAGGGGCUUGUUCGAGCAUGGUCUCUAGAAACUGUUUGAACGAUAAAAAUCUAAAAACUACCAGCUUUCCUCUGAUUGCAAAUAAAUCUUGCAUUCACUGGGCCCUCAUUCAGUCCCAUUGUCUGCGUACCUGGUGAAGAUAUUGUGAUCAGGAAUCUACCAAGUACCAGUUUUACAAUCAGCCAUAGGAGAUAUAAUGAACAUAGAAGACAUGGGCUCUUCUUUUGAAGAACUAAUUGGAAAAACGUCAUAAAAAGUAAUUUGAAAUAAAUCUUACAGCAAUAUAGAAUACGCACAAAAUAUGAAUAAAAUGAAAUCCAUAAUGCUUCCCCCACUUCUUUACUUCCACUAACAUUAAGAAUCUACUGC
rnacentral:lncRNA from 1 species